rnacentral:rRNA from 1 species
GAUCAUGGCUCAGAUUGAACGCUGGCGGCAGGCCUAACACAUGCAAGUCGAGCGGUAACACAGGGAGCUUGCUCCUGGGUGACGAGCGGCGGACGGGUGAGUAAUGUCUGGGAAACUGCCCGAUGGAGGGGGAUAACUACUGGAAACGGUAGCUAAUACCGCAUAAUGUCGCAAGACCAAAGAGGGGGGACCUUCGGGCCUCUUGCCAUCAGAUGUGCCCAGAUGGGAUUAGCUAGUAGGG